rnacentral:rRNA from 1 species
GACGAACGCUGGCGGCGUGCUUAACACAUGCAAGUCGAACGGAAAGGCCCUUCUUUUGUGGGGUGCUCGAGUGGCGAACGGGUGAGUAACACGUGAGUAACCUGCCCUUGACUUUGGGAUAACUUCAGGAAACUUGGUCUAAUACCGGAUAUGAGCUCCUGCUGCAUGGUGGGGGUUGGAAAGUUUCGGCGGUUGGGGAUGGACUCGCGGCUUAUCAGCUUGUUGGUGGGGUAGUGGCUUACCAAGGCUUUGACGGGUAGCCGGCCUGAGAGGGUGACCGGCCACAUUGGGACUGAGAUACGGCCCAGACUCCUACGGGAGGCAGCAGUGGGGAAUAUUGCACAAUGGGCGGAAGCCUGAUGCAGCAACGCCGCGUGCGGGAUGACGGCCUUCGGGUUGUAAACCGCUUUCGCCUGUGACGAAGCGUGAGUGACGGUAAUGGGUAAAGAAGCACCGGCUAACUACGUG